GGCUUUUAGAAAAUAAUUUAAGGUYUGGCCUGCCCACUGAAUAAUUAAAGGGCCGCAGUAUUUUGACUGUGCUAAGGUAGCAUAAUCAUUAGUUUCUUAAUUAGAAGCUGGAAUGAAUGGUUAAAUGAAAAAUUGACUGUCUCAAUUUAAUUAAAUGAAUUUUAUUUUUAAGUGAAAAAGCUUAAAUAAAUGAAUAAGACGAGAAGACCCUAUAGAGUUUAAUAAUUAAAGAAAAAUAAUUUUUUUAGAAAUAAUAGAUUUUUUUUUUAUUUAUUUGGUUGGGGUGAUUUAAAAAUUUAAUAAACUUUUUAAUAAUUUAAACAAAAAUUUUUGAAUUUUUGAUCCAUAAUUUUAUGAUUAAUAGAGAAAUUACCUUAGGGAUAACAGCGUUAUUUUUUUUGAGAGUUCUAAUCGAAAAAAAAGUUUGCRACCYCGAKGUUGGAUUAAAAUUUAAUUUUGGCGAARAAGUUAAAAAUUUAGGYCUGUUCGACCUUUAAAAUUUUACA
rnacentral:rRNA from 1 species